rnacentral:rRNA from 1 species
AUUGAACGCUGGCGGCAGGCCUAACACAUGCAAGUCGAGCGGAUGAAGGGAGCUUGCUCCUGGAUUCAGCGGCGGACGGGCGAGUAAUGCCUAGGAAUCUGCCUGGUAGUGGGGGAUAACGUCCGGAAACGGGCGCUAAUACCGCAUACGUCCUGAGGGAGAAAGUGGGGGAUCUUCGGACCUCACGCUAUCAGAUGAGCCUAGGUCGGAUUAGCUAGUUGGUGGGGUAAAGGCCUACCAAGGCGACGAUCCGUAACUGGUCUGAGAGGAUGAUCAGUCACACUGGAACUGAGACACGGUCCAGACUCCUACGGGAGGCAGCAGUGGGGAAUAUUGGACGAUGGGCGAAAGCCUGAUCCAGCCAUGCCGCGUGUGUGAAGAAGGUCUUCGGAUUGUAAAGCACUUUAAGUUGGGAGGAAGGGCAGUAAGUUAAUACCUUGCUGUUUUGACGUUACCAACAGAAUAAGCACCGGCUAACUUCGUG